rnacentral:tRNA from 1 species
GAAGGUAUAGCUCAGUGGUAGAACAUGUGCUUAGCACGGACAAGGUCCUGAGUUUAAUCCCCAGUACCUCCA